GACGAACGCUGGCGGCGUGCCUAAUACAUGCAAGUAGGACGCAGUUGCGAACGGGUGAGUAACGCGUAGGUAACUACCUAUUAGAGGGGGAUAACUAAUGGAAACGAUAGCUAAUACCGCAUACUAGGAGAUGGACCUGCGUUGUAUUAGCGAGGAGGUAGGGUAAUGGCCUCACUAGGCAACGAUACAUAGCCGACCUGAGAGGUUGAUCUGCCACACUUGGACUGAGUCACGGUCCGGACUCCUACGGUAGGCAGCAGUAUGGUAUCUUCGGCAAUGGGGGGAACCUUGACCGAGUAACGCCGCGUGAGUGAAGAAGGUUUUCUGAUCGUAAAGCUCUGUUGUUAAGGAAGCGGUACUUAACCAGAAAGGGACGGCUAACUACGUGCCAGCAGCCGCGGUAAUUC
rnacentral:rRNA from 1 species